GCUUGUCUCAAAGAUUAAGCCAUGCAUGUCCAAGUAUAAGCCCUUAUAGGGUGAAACUGCGGAUGGCUCAUUAAAUCGGUUGGAAUCUACACGAGAGUGUAUUUAGAUGGAUAACCACGGAAAAUCUGCGGCUAAUACAUGCAGUAAAGCCCCGCAAGGGGUAGCAUUUAUCAGCUUGAGAUGGAUGCAGGGGUAACUCUGCUUGGUGAGUCAUGAUAAAGAUGCAAAUCGUAUGGGCUUGCCCGACGAUGCUUCGUUCGACUUUCCGCCCUAUCAACUUUGGAUGGUAGUGUAGUGGACUACCAUGGUGUUAACGGGUGACGGAGAAUUAGGGUUCGAUUCCGGAGAGGGAGCCUGAGAGAUGGCUACUACUUCCAAGGAAGGCAGCAGG
rnacentral:rRNA from 1 species